UACGUAGGGUGCAAGCGUUGUCCGGAAUUAUUGGGCGUAAAGAGCUCGUAGGCGGCUCGUCGCGUCUGCUGUGAAAACCUGGGGCUCAACCCCGGGCGUGCAGUGGGUACGGGCGGGCUAGAGUGCAGUAGGGGAGACUGGAAUUCCUGGUGUAGCGGUGAAAUGCGCAGAUAUCAGGAGGAACACCGGUGGCGAAGGCGGGUCUCUGGGCUGUUAAUGACGCUGAGGAGCGAAAGCGUGGGGAGCGAACAGG
rnacentral:rRNA from 1 species